rnacentral:tRNA from 1 species
GUUUCUAUAGUUUAAAUAAAAAAUAUGAUAGUGAAAAUAUCAAGAUAUAAUAUUAUUUAGAAAUA